rnacentral:rRNA from 1 species
GAUGAACGCUGGCGGCGUGCCUAAUACAUGCAAGUCGAGCGAACGGACGAGAAGCUUGCUUCUCUGAUGUUAGCGGCGGACGGGUGAGUAACACGUGGAUAACCUACCUAUAAGACUGGGAUAACUUCGGGAAACCGUAGCUAAUACCGGAUAAUAUUUUGAACCGCAUGGUUCAAAAGUGAAAGACGGUCUUGCUGUCACUUAUAGAUGGAUCCGCGCUGCAUUAGCUAGUUGGUAAGGUAACGGCUUACCAAGGCAACGAUGCAUAGCCGACCUGAGAGGGUGAUCGGCCACACUGGAACUGAGACACGGUCCAGACUCCUACGGGAGGCAGCAGUAGGGAAUCUUCCGCAAUGGGCGAAAGCCUGACGGAGCAACGCCGCGUGAGUGAUGAAGUUCUUCGGCUCGGAAAACUCUGUUAUUAGGGAAGAACAUAUGUGUAAGUAACUGUGCACAUCUUGACGGUACCUAAUCAGAAAGCCACGGCUAACUACGUG